rnacentral:rRNA from 1 species
ACGCUGGCGGCGUGCUUACACAUGCAAGUCGAGUGCGCGUCCGUAGCAAUACGGAUGGCGCACGGCGCACGGGUGCGUAACACGUGGGUAAUCUGCCCUCUGAUGGGGAAUAACCCGCCGAAAGGCGGGCUAAUACCGCAUAACAUUCCUUGGACUCCGGUUCGAGGAUUCAAAGGCGUAAGUCGUCGGAGGUGGAGCCCGCGCACGAUUAGCUAGUUGGUAGGGUAAUGGCCUACCAAGGCUGUGAUCGUUAGCUGGUCUGAGAGGAUGGCCAGCCACACUGGAACUGAGACACGGUCCAGACUCCUACGGGAGGCAGCAGUGGGGAAUCUUGCACAAUGGGCGAAAGCCUGAUGCAGCGACGCCGCGUGGGGGAUGAAGCUUCUCGGAGUGUAAACCCCUUUCGACCGGGACGAAUACCUCGCAAGAGGGGUGACGGUACCGGUAUAAGAAGCCCCGGCUAACUACGUGCCAGCAGCCGCGGUAAGACGUAGGGGGCCAGCGUUGCUCGGAAUUACUGGGUGUAAAGGGUUCGUANGCGGUGUGGCA